AGCGGCGGACGGGUGAGUAAUACUUAGGAAUCUACCUAGUAGUGGGGGAUAGCACGGGGAAACUCGUAUUAAUACCGCAUACGACCUACGGGAGAAAGGGGGCAGUUUACUGCUCUCGCUAUUAGAUGAGCCUAAGUCGGAUUAGCUAGAUGGUGGGGUAAAGGCCUACCAUGGCGACGAUCUGUAGCUGGUCUGAGAGGAUGAUCAGCCACACCGGGACUGAGACACGGCCCGGACUCCUACGGGAGGCAGCAGUGGGGAAUAUUGGACAAUGGGGGAAACCCUGAUCCAGCCAUGCCGCGUGUGUGAAGAAGGCCUUUUGGUUGUAAAGCACUUUAAGCAGUGAAGAAGACUCUUCGGUUAAUACCCGGAGACGAUGACAUUAGCUGCAGAAUAAGCACCGGCUAACUCUGUGCCAGCAGCCGCGGUAAUACAGAGGGUGCAAGCGUUAAUCGGAAUUACUGGGCGUAAAGGGAGCGUAGGUGGCUCUAUAAGUCAGAUGUGAAAUCCCCGGGCUUAACCUGGGAACUGCAUCUGAAACUGUAGAGCUAGAGUAUGUGAGAGGGAGGUAGAAUUUCAGGUGUAGCGGUGAAAUGCGUAGAGAUCUGAAGGAAUACCGAUGGCGAAGGCAGCCUCCUGGCAUAAUACUGACACUGAGGCUCGAAAGCGUGGGUAGCAAACAGGAUUAGAUACCCUGGUAGUCCACGCCGUAAACGAUGUCUACUAGUCGUUGGGUCCCUUGAGGACUUAGUGACGCAGCUAACGCAAUAAGUAGACCGCCUGGGGAGUACGGCCGCAAGGUUAAAACUCAAAUGAAUUGA
rnacentral:rRNA from 1 species